AACCUUAUGGACCUGCGGGCGUAUACCUGCGGAGGGAUCAUUACCAGAGUGAGGGGGAAACCCCGACCUCCAACCCCAUGUAAUUCAUACUCUGUUGCCUCGGGGGCGACCCGGCCUUCGGGCGUCGGGGCCCCCGGUGGACCCGUAACACUGCAUCCAUGCGUCUGAGUGAUUAAAUCAAUCAAUUAAAACUUUUAACAACGGAUCU
rnacentral:misc_RNA from 1 species